UACGUAGGGUGCGAGCGUUAAUCGGAAUUACUGGGCGUAAAGCGUGCGCAGGCGGUUCGCUAAGACCGAUGUGAAAUCCCCGGGCUUAACCUGGGAACUGCAUUGGUGACUGGCGGGCUAGAGUAUGGCAGAGGGGGGUAGAAUUCCACGUGUAGCAGUGAAAUGCGUAGAGAUGUGGAGGAAUACCGAUGGCGAAGGCAGCCCCCUGGGCCAAUACUGACGCUCAUGCACGAAAGCGUGGGGAUCAAACAGG
rnacentral:rRNA from 1 species